GCACGCGGGGAAGUGUGCUGGAACACGAAGCAUUCUGGAAAGACAGUCCGUGCUGGGACAUCGAGCAGCUCGGACAGCACUUGACAGUAGCCGGCAAUAAAGCGAAGUUGUGCAAGGCUCCCUGCCUAUCAUAUUGACUAGUUUGUUCGCAGGCUCUAUGACCCACACUUUUACUGGCGCAGCCGACACGAUCAUCUAGGGCCAGCCUGAUCAAACUUUGCAGCCUACUGGUGUCACUUCUGUCUGCUGGGAAUUGAGGAGUAUCCCUGAAUGGUUCUAUACGCUGUGCUGCUACAGGAGUUCACCGGAUCAUCGCCGGGCACUGCGGAGGUUUCCAUGGUGGAGUAGUUGUCGAGAGCUGUCCUAACCUGCCCAGACAUGUCAUGAUGACGUCGCAGCUGACGUCACAGGAUGUCCGGAACUGCAAGAUGCUUUGCAGCCUACCUCUGUGCUCCGUCGCCCGGCGAUGGUCAGCGGCCGUUCCGUACCGCUUUCUUCAAGAUGGCGUCGUUGAUAUUCAACUAAGCUCCUUCUCUCCACUCUAUCUCUAUUUAUUUUAUUUUCUACCUAUUUUUUAUUUUUUAUAAGAUCAAGUAGCGGGAAACUCACAGUGGUCUGGACACAACUUAGAUGCUCCCCAAGUAGUGUAAUGACUCACUGAAUGAUCCUAAUUACUGUGGGGGGUCCCAAAUUGCUCUAAUUGCUAAUUAAUGGCGUCCAGAUGACUGUGUGAGUUUCCGGAUACUUGAGCUGAUCCAAUACUACUAUUAUCUGGCCCAAGGGUUAGAUUAUGCUGAUACUUGGAUGCAGGAGGCUUUAGGGAGGCUUGGCUAGGAGGCUUUAGGGACAACAUGACCCAGAAACGGAUCAAGGCAAAACUACGACACGUUUGGAGGAGGUUUAAAUGCUCAGCGUCUCAACUUUGGGAUAAAGACCACAGAAGGAGCGGGUAGCGAGCUGGCUGAAGUUCCGGAUUUAGCCGCGGCGCAGAAUAUGGACCCCUCGCUGGCUAAAGCACGUGAGGAUGAAGAACAAAGGCGGAAUGUAUCUAGAUAAGGGGCUUCUGUAUCACAAGGACAAAGUUUUGGGUAGGCCUGUGAGACAACUUGUCCUACCGCAGUGCACACGCAACGAGGUACUGCAGCUAGCUCACGACUCACCAUGGGGUGGUCACUUCGGCGCUCGUAAGACAACAGCUCGUAUUAAGUACAGUUUCUAUUGGCCUGGGUCGGAGACACACGUUAGGCAGAACUGUUUGAACUGUCAUGGAUGUCAGCUUAGAGCGGACAGACGCAAGACUCACAGAGUACCGAUUACUCCCUUAACAUGUCCGGAGAGGCAUUCCAGUGUGUCAAUUCGGAUAUCAUAGGGCCCAUUGAACCCCCUUCAGCUAGAGGACACAAGUAUGCUUUAUGCAUUAUAUAUUUACACACCAGAUGGCGGGAGCUGCCAAUCUCAUUUGCCAGCUGUAAGCUUUCUCCUACGCAGAAAAGGUGGAAAAUCCUGUGCAACGGAUGGGGCUGGUCUUCGUGUCAUACGUUAGAUGCCUCUGCCGGCAUGCUAACGAACUUGAGGUGCGAGGUGUAACGGUGACCGGGAAGCCCGAUCGCCAUCAGAUGAGACACAGCACGCGGGGAAGUGUGCUGGCACAGGAGCAUUCUUGAAAGAUAGUCCAUGCUGGGACAUCGAGUAGGUCGGACAGCCCUUGACAGUAGCCGGCAAUAAACCUAAGUUGUGCAAGGC